UACAGAGGUCUCAAGCGUUGUUCGGAUUCAUUGGGCGUAAAGGGUGCGUAGGUGGCGCGCUAAGUCAGGUGUGAAAUUUCGGAGCUUAACUCCGAAACUGCAUUUGAUACUGGCGUGCUUGAGGACUGGAGAGGAGACUGGAAUUCAUGGUGUAGCAGUGAAAUGCGCAGAUAUCAGGAGGAACACCGGUGGCGAAGGCGACACCCUGGACUCAUACUGACACUGAGGUGCGAAAGCGUGGGGAGCGAACAGG
rnacentral:rRNA from 1 species